UUAAGCAAAACACUGGGAGAAAGCCCUCUCCUGGGCAGAUGGAGUUGGACUCCUUAUAUAGUAAAUAAUACAUAGUGUAACAGCUUCAUUGAUAUCCCUUCAGUAUUCUUCCCUAUCAUUUUUUUUUUUUUCCCAGCAGCUAUGGCUUGCCUGGACACUUUUUUUUAUGCUGGGCACUGGAGGAUGACUAAUGGGGCUGCUGCACAAAAAGAGGAGUCUUUACCUGACUCUAGUCAUGCUGUAUAGCAAUAAUACUAUUUUGAAUUAUAACAUUAAUUUAUUCCACACAUACAUCUGUGCUUCUACUAUACUGCACCAUUUUGAUUGUGUCCUACUGUGUAACUGUAAGUUGAGAAUCUGAUUUAAAGAUAACAGUAGCCUAGCCUUCCUCCAUCACGCCUUUUGUUAAGCCAGUGUUGCUUCACUGAUGUUUAUUGCAGAGGUGCAGAGCAUCAGCAAUUCCUGUUAACUUUAAUAGGAUUUUUAGGUGUGCUUAGAAGAAUCAGGUCGCUUGCAUAAAGGAACCCAAGGGGGGUGGAUUAAGGAGUCUAGUUCUACCACUGUUCUCUACCAACAAUGACAUGAAGAAAUUGAUCCCUAUAUGAGCAGCUAGCAGGAAUUGCAGAUUACAGGAGUAUGCACCAAUAUUUUGUUUUGUUUCUGUGAAACAACUAUUCCAUUCCAGCUUCUCUGUGUUCCUAGUUGCUGUGGGAAGCUGCUUUGUGGUAUCCAUUCAUGUUUUUAGACACUCCAAAUUACUUGGCAAUGGAAAAUUUACUUUUGGAAAGAUAUCAGCUUUUUGUUAUUGCUUUGGAUUGAUACAUGGUGGGUUUUUAUGUAUGCAACUUCAGUGUAUCUGUUUGAAACUUUUUUUCUGUCUUGUUCUUUUUGAUAUACCCCUUAAUACUCAUUGUCUUGGGGGAGAGGACGUGUUCCCACAUACAAUUAACCUGUCUCAGUUCAGACUUUAGUGGAAGAUGAAAUGAGUACUUUUCCGUCAUCUUGAGGCAGUCCUUCUGCUUCCAGCCCACACUCUAAUUUCAGAUGUCAGGCUUCCUCUGUGAAUCUGGAGUUCUGUUCUCAAAGAAUAGAAGGAAAUUGCAUAAUGAAUUAAGAAAAACGUAUUUAUAAUAUUUUACAUUUAAAUACACUGUUGUAUACUGAUGUAGUAUUUGUGUGUGCUUAUUACAUUUAUAUGUAUCAUGACCCUCUCCUCAUGUGUUCUCAGCACAAUUUGAACCCUUUAUACCAAAACACAAUCCUUUAGCAUAUGAUAUAAAGCAACUCCAAUAGUUGGGAUUGGGUGUUGCCUUUAUUCCCAGCAAUGAAAAGGGGGCACAUAUACAUGUAACACACAGCAGGCCUGCAUUUUUGCCUAUGUAUGCUCCAUGCAUAUACAUGUAUGGGUGCACGUUGUAGUAGAAGCUGUAGCAUUUAAAGUUUCAUAAAUGUUUUUGCCCGUAGCACCCUGUUUUCAGUCACUUUAUAUUUCAAGUUUUGGGGUGCUCAGGCUGUUGUUUUGGGGUCUGACAUUUUCCAGGUUCAAUUUCCAUUCAAAGGUGAAUAUUUUCAGCGUAUUACAGUAAGAACAAUUCAGACAGCUGAGUCCAAAAAGAAUUAAUAAAAUGCCUUCUCUGGUAUUGGAAAAGGCCUGUAAUAUUUAUUUAUUUGCUUUUUUAUAUCAGUAUCACUUAAAGCAGUGUAGUGUUCGAAAGCUGGUAUGUCAUGGAAAUAGCCCUGGUUGAGACAUAAAAGGUGCUGAAAGUAAAAACAGUGGCUCAUAACUGAAACAGUUAUGAGCCACUGAAAAUCUUCAAGAACUUUUGCCUGAUUGAGCAGCUUCUUAGGCGCUUAAGGUAGUUGACAUUGACCUUGUGAUGUCACCUAAUCAAAUUAAUUCCUCAUUUAUAGAUUUUUUUUUUCUCCCAUCAUUCUUUUCAGAAAGAUUGAAAUAUUAUAAAUAUUGGAAUAGAAUAAAUAGAAAUGGAUAAUCUUAUGUGCAUGUUUAUUUCCUCACUUUUAACCAUACGAUUUUAUAUUUAGAAAGGAAGUUAGCUGUGUUAGUCUGGAGUUGGGCAGAAGGCAGAUCACUGUGGUUACCUUACAGACUAACUUGUACAAAGAGGCAUGAGCUGUCGAUAAGCAGAUGUUUUUGUUAAGUUUGUGUGCACAAUUUUGAUACUUCCCCUUUGCGCAUCUACAGGUGUUAUAGUAAUUUUUUAAAUUAUAUAAAUACAUACCAUUUCUAAAAAUAAAGAUGCACUUUUGUACAAAGCUUACGUACCAUGGUGUGGCGGAGCACAGGGUGCUCCUGCCACUUGCAACCAGUGGGUUGCGUAGCCCCGGUGCGGGGGGGCGGUGAGGAGAGGCCCCAGAGAGGGGGCAGUGAUUUAAGGAGGGGAGGAGUGUGGCGGAGCGCAGGGUGCUCCUGCCACUUUAAGGGCCUGGAGCUGGCAGCCUCCAGGUGCCUGAUUGCGGCAGCCAUUUUGGGGCCUAUAUAAACUAGGCAGUUUGGCUGCAGGGGGUCAGGCAGCAACAUUGCCUGGCCUUAGGGCUGCUGUGUACGAACCGGAGAGACCCGAUUUGCAACACUGAAGAAAAGUAGAAGAGACCCAGUGUUUCAAGCUGUAGCUUUGCUCCUUUUCAACUGUAACAAUCUUUAGAGGGUUUUGACCUUCUCUGGUUAAACAACACAUUUUAAAUUUUUAACAUUGUUUCCAGUAUGAUUUACCGAUACUAAAAAAACUGCUAUAAAAUUGUUAAAGCCCCAAAUAAGUUUUAACAAGAUGGCUGCCCUCUGAAAGAAACUGACCACAACUUUUUACAACAGAUUCCAGUUUCAUUUUUAUUUGAAAACUAUUAAAAGAAUUUUUCCUGA